GCCUCAGACAGUGCAGCCCAUGGGGUGCCCAGGCCACUCCUGCCCUCCCUGGGGACAGGUUUUCCAGACAUGUGCUGGGAGAGGGCUGGGACCGGCACAGAAUGUUCCACCACACACCGCAGUCGCGCCCCAUUUACCCGGUCCCUCACCACAGGCCUAGAGGGGGCCCUACCAAGCCAGACCCUGCUCCCCACUCCCUGCUGUGGGCAUGACUGGGUGACCUUUCAAGAUGAAAUUUAAGGAGGCCUCUGAGGGGAGCCAUCUCUGAACAUCGCCUUUCCGAGGCAUCUGCCUUUGAGGAGCUGUUCCACCUGCCGCAAGGCUCUGAACUCUCCGUGAUCUGUGCUCCAGCGUUUCCCUGGAGGGCCCUGUUUUCCCAUCCUCUGUGCCUGGCACAGCUUCCAAGUUCCCAGACUAAGCUCCUCCGGGAAGCCGUCUCUGACGGGACAGUGGAUCACAGACCUCUCCCUCCUCUGACUUCCCCCCACCCCGCUGUCGGUCCUGCCUGUGGAGCACUGGCUCAUCUCAUGUCCUGUUUAGCCUGUUUAGCUGUCAGGUGUCCCGAGGGUUGAGGGUCUUUCUUCUUCCCAGGUACUUCAACUCAUUUUCCUGGAAUUACCAGAUUCUUCACUCAUGCCCCAACUAGACUGAGAGUCCCCAAGGGCAGGGGCUGUGUCAGGUGUAUCUCUGUGCCCUGAUGCCCAACCCAGGGCUUGGCACAGAGGAGCAAGAGCAAACUUCCACUGGAUACAUUUCUGGUGCUUUUCUCAGGUGACAGGUGCCACCUUUGAGCUCUGGAGACACUGUCUUCUCUGCUUGUCACUCUAGCCCAUCAGGCCUGGUGCCGUGCUGAGUACAUGGUAGAGACCCUGGUGGGACUGGAGACCAGGACAGAGCUCUGCUGCAGAGUUCUUUCAGCCAUGAGGA